UUUUAUGUUACAUUUUUAAGUUUAAGGAUGACUUUGUUACAACCUCUAAAAUUCAAGGACGGCUAUUGAAAGUUAUCCAUAAAACAUAACAACUCAAUUUAUUUUCCACUUCUUAAAUUUAUUACCAGAAAGUUAGUAUCAUAAGAAAAAACAGAGCUACAAAUGGUAAGUUUAAUGGAGUAAAAUCAGUUUAUGCUGUGUGAUUGCUUGAAAUUUUUCUGCACCUAAUGUUCUUCAAACUUUGUUCUUCCUAGCCAUGGAAAGGAAUGAUGAGGGUUUCAUGUCAACAGGGCUUCAACCUAUAGAAAAAUUAACUAUCUUAACGUGUACCACUUGUACUUUGUUUGUAGUUAAGAAUAAAUCCUGCCCUGAACAUACUUGUCUUGAAUCCUUUAUAACUGAAGACAUUCUUCUUAGCAGGAAAGGGCUCCAGAUAAGAGAA
rnacentral:misc_RNA from 1 species